CGCCUCCCGUUCGCCUCUGCGCCUGGUCCGGCGACUGCGGGCGCCGCGGUCCACUGGGUCCGCCUCUUCCCGGCAGGGGUUUCUGCCCAGCUUACCCGCUGUCAGCUGGGGUCCUGCUCUGGUGGGAGGAAAAGGCUGAGACGCUUCCCUGCCCUGUUGCCUCAACCACCUCGCGGCAGCGGCUCCCAGGAUAUGCACUUUGACGACUGAAGCUGAGCCUGCGCCGCCACGACCUUGGGGGGGUGGUCGGCCUCUGCUCUGAGCAGGAAGUAGAAAGUCUCAGCAGACCCUACCUGAGGGCCGAGCAACAGUGUAUUCUACAUAGCAAACAGGGUGAAAAUGAGAAUUCACCUGUGGAACUCACUGGCCAUUGUGGAAGAAACAAGGGACACCUUGUAUUGCUGGAUGAUAAAAGAGGAACAAACUGAUGAAGUGCUGACAAGGCAAUGACAGAACGUGAGAGAUUUAUUGCUGCGUGGGAAGAGAUCUUCAGUGAUCAUGUAGCCUGAAGCUCUCAUUUUGUCAUCGAGGGACACCAAAACUCAGAGCAGUGUGGAUCAGUGUUAAAAGUGCUUCAUGGAGAAAUGGAAACCUGAAGGGACUCUGAAGGAGGAGUGGGGCUCAGCAAACAGCAGAUGAGUUUCAAUCCAAGCACCCAUUACCCCCCGCAACACACGGCAUACGUGCACCUCAUCUCCUCCUGUGUUGCUAAGAAGCUACCCAUGUGUCUGUCAUUAAUUCUCCAGAAUCCUUGGACACACCCUUCUGCAGGGCUUUCUAACAGGAAAUACAAGUCUCAGAUUUUUUUUUAAGUUAAAAUUGAGUACAGCACUCAUACCUUUCUUCAAGCAUGAACAGUCAAUCAACAAUGCCUCAUGAGCUACUGCUCUCCUGCUCUUUGACAAGACAAAUCUUUAUUUCUUUGUGGUGAUCCAGAAGGCAGUGGGAAGAAUGACAGGGGCUUGGUUAUCUUCAAUUUAAUCUCUACACUUCCAUGGGGCUGGUGCAAGCUAGGGCCAUUUUACUGCGCCCAAAGGAAUUUAAGACAUCUCUAUUAUCUCUAAAGAAUCCAGAUUAACAUGCCUUCUUUGUGGGCAGGGAGACCUGCUAUGAAUUCUAGGAUCUUAAUUCAAAUGCUUUCAAAUUCUUACUGCUUGUUCAGUUAAUUACAUAUAUG